CUUUAUUGUCCAGGUGGGAAAGGGCAGUGUGGAGUGUGAUUGAGACUGCAUCUCUGUCAAUUAGGUUAGUAUUGUGGAGUAACUACAAUGUUGUUGACAGUGGUGUUAAGUACUUAACUAAAAAUAGUACUACUUAAGUAGAUUUUUGGGGUAUCUGUACUUGACUAUUUAUAUUUUUGACUACUUUUACUUCACUACAUUCUUAAAGAAAAUAAAGUAUUUUAAAAAUAAAGUACCCUGACACCCAAAAGUACUUGUUACAUUUGGAAAGCUUAGCAGGACAGGAAAAUUUUAAAAUUCACGCACUUAUCAAGACAACAUCCCUUGGCAUCCCAACUACCUCUUGUCUGACGGACUCACUAAACACACAUGCUUUGUUUGUAAAUGAUGGCUGAGUGUUGGAGUGUGCCCCUGGCUAUCUGGAAAAAAAGGGGUGUCUGGUUUGCAGAAUAUCAUAUUUUUUUAAAUGAUUAAUACUUAAGUAUAUUUUAGCAAUUACAUUUACUUUGAUACUUAAGUAUAUUUAAAACCAAAUACUGUUAGACAUUUACUAAAGUAGUAUUUUACUGGGUGAAUUUCACUUACUAUUUUCUAUUGAGGUAUCUUUACUUUUACUCAAGUAUGACAAUUGGGUACUUUUCCACCGCUGGUUGUUGAUCCAUCCUCAGUUUUCUCUUAUCACAGCUGUACCUGUUUUAAAGUCACCAUUACCCUUAUGGUCAAAUCCCUGAGCGGUUUCCUUCCUCUCCGGCAACUGAGUUAGGAAAGACGCCUGUAUCUUUGUAGUGACUGGAUAUAGUGACGGGGCUCCCGAGUGGCACAGCAGUCUAGCCGGGGUAGGCCGUCAUUGUAAAUAACAAUUUGUUCUUAACUGACUUGCCUAGUUUAAAUAAAGUUUAAAUUAAAAAAAAUAAGUCUUGUUACACAAUACAAAGUGUAAUUAAUAUCUUCACCAUGUUCAAAGGGAUAUUCAAUGUCUCCUUUUACAUUUUGUACCAUCUACCAAUAGGUGCCCUUCUUUGCGAGGCAUUGGAAAACCUUCCUGGUGUUUUGUGGUUAAAUCUGUGUUUGAAAUUCACUGCUCGACUGAGGGACCUUACAGAUAAUUGUGUGUGUGGGGAACAGAGAUGAGGUAGUCAUUAAAAAAAUCAUGUUAAACACUAUUAUUGCACACAGAGUGAGUCUAUGCAACUUAUUAUGUGACUUGUUAAGCACAUUUGUAAUCCUGAACUUAUUUAGGCUUGCCUUAGCAAAGGUGUUGUGUACUUAUUGACUCAAGACAUUUCAGCUUUUCAUUUUUUUAUUAAUUUGUAAGCAUUUUCCAAAAAACAUAAUUCAACGUUGACAUUGUGGGGUAUUGUGUGUAGGCCAGUGACCCCAAAAAAUCUAAAUUCAAUAAAUUACAAAUUUGGGAUGUAACACAACAAAAUAUAGGUAGCUAGCUAGCUAUCUUUUGAUCUAGCGAGCCAGGCUAGCUAAUGUAACUAGCUAGCUAGAUACCUCAUUUGAACGUAGUUAGGUCGUAGCUCAUACAAGUUUAUUGUGUAUUAUCUAGAUACUGCUGGUUAUGUAACGUUAUCAUUUGAUAAUGCUAGCAAGGCAGGCUGGCUACAGGCUAGCUAACGUUAGUUAACUAGCUAGCUAAUGUUAGCCUACAAGUCGUAUUUGCAAGUUAUUUUGUAGCUCAUACAGGUGUAUUCCGUUUUGUUUAGGGCAAAACUUAAUAAUGGAUGUAGCUAACUCAUGUCUGAGUCUGACUAAUACAGUGAACUAUUGGUGCUUUCAAGGGAACUGGGAGAGGAAAAAACUAGGUCAAAUCAUGACGUUAGUGAUCUUCAGAUCGGAAAGUCAGAGCACUAGAAAAAUGCCUGAGUUUGAACUUGGAAUUUCGAGUUGGAAUAGCGUUCAAAAUUACAUUUCCCAAUCAGAGCUAAUUUUUGUCCACACACCCACUAAUGAAUUUCUGGCUACACCACUGAGGUUAGGCAUAUGGUUAACUGUGUGGUUAAGGUUAGGUUUAAAAUCACAUUUUAAGAAGAGCAAUUGUAGAAAUAGGCGGCCUAUAUGACUUUGUGGCUGUAACUAGUGACGACCUAGAAUUAUCUUGACCGAGUUACUGCCCUGAUGACACAGACGGCUUCAUCAACAACGGCAAUGUGUGUUAUGUGAAAAGUUGUAUACAAAAUAAAUAUAUCCAGAUUGCAAAACUAAUUUUAAUUACCCAGCCAAGCAGAUACAUUUUGGUUGUGAAGUACAUUAUCAAAACACUUAGUCCUUUCUUUAUAACAAUGAAAUGUGUUACUUGGCUGUCUAUUGUAUCACGCUGUCCCAGACCCUACCAGUCAACACCACCUCGUAAGAUGACGAAGUACAUUGCCAGCUGCAGUUGUUCGAGAGAUGUCCAGUUUCAUGCAACAUAGAAAAGACCAGCAAGGGGACCCUCAGAAACACACAGACAUGCCCUUCCUGUGAGCAUUCCUAUAAAUGGAACAGUGUGGACACUUGAAUCAGUAUCUUUGAGGGGCCAGGAGCUCAUCUACGCUGCCAUGCCCAUCAAUGGGGCGCUGGCAAAGAACUCGCCUCCAGCCUCACUUCUUGCCUGCUUACUAACGGUCGUCAAUGGAGAGAUGCAUCUAUUGACCCAGCACUAGGAGACUUGCAAGAUGAUGUGAUGAAGUCCAGACUGACAUACGGGCUUCAUACUGAUGUCUCUAAAUGGAGAGGGACCUGACACAGCAUGAACAUUUUACUAGACAACUUUUACUUAUUGUCUUUUUUUAUUAUUGAAUUGUAUCAGUCAAUAUGGGGAGGGAGAAACCCAGUGUAUUCUGCACCAGGAUCAGGUAACUCCUGGUGUAUACAGGACACCAUAUAGGAAGGUAUGACCACUCUGACAUGUUUACCAAGGUAGCCCAAUUAUCACCAGACAAAAUGUUGAUAGGCACAGUAUCUGUAUCGGCAGGGAGUGACAAUGAAUGAUGAAAGGUGCACAUUGUUAUAUUAGCAGAACACUGAUUCUAUGGUUUUAUGUAAAUGGUUGUUUAUUCUACAUGGACCUGUUACUACAUUUGAAUGUUAUCUAAACACUUAGUUUAGAAUAUCUACAAACAUUAUUUUUAUUUACCUUUAUUUAACUUGGCAUUCUUAUUUACAAUGACGGCCUACCAAAAUGCCUCCUGCGGGGGAAGGAGGCUGAAAUUAUUAUUAUUUAAAAAAUAAUUAAACACGCAUCACGACGAGAGACAACACAGCACUACAUAAAGCGAGACCUAAGACAACAACAUAGCAUGGCAGCAACACAUGAAAACAAAGCAUGGUAUCAACACAACAUGGUAGCAGCACAAAACAAGGUACAAACAUUAUUGGGCACAGACAACAGCACAAAGGGCAAGAAGAUAGAGACAACAAUACAUCACGCAAAGCAGCCACAACUGCCAGUAAGGGUGUCCAUGAUUGAGUCUUUGAAUAAAGAGAUUGAGAUAAAAC